rnacentral:tRNA from 1 species
GGGGGUGUAGCUCAGUGGUAGAGUGCUUGCCUAGCAUGCACAAAGCCCUGGGUUUGAUUCCCAGCACUACCA